rnacentral:rRNA from 1 species
GAUGAACGCUGGCGGCGUGCCUAAUACAUGCAAGUAGAACGCUGAAGGAAGGAGCUUGCCCUUUCCGGAUGAGUUGCGAACGGGUGAGUACGCGUAGGUAACCUGCCUGGUAGCGGGGGGUAACUAUUGGAAACGAUAGCUAAUACCGCAUAACAGUAGAUGUUGCAUGAUAUCUACUUAAAAAGGGCAAUUGCACCACUACCAGAUGGACCUGCGUUGUAUUAGCUAGUUGGUGAGGUAACGGCUCACCAAGGCGACGAUACAUAGCCGACCUGAGAGGGUGAUCGGCCACACUGGGACUGAGACACGGCCCAGACUCCUACGGGAGGCAGCAGUAGGGAAUCUUCGGCAAUGGACGGAAGUCUGACCGAGCAACGCCGCGUGAGUGAAGAAGGGUUUCGGAUCGUAAAGCUCUGUUGUAAGAGAAGAACGAGUGUGAGAGUGGAAAGUUCACACUGUGACGGUAUCUUACCAGAAAGGGACGGCUAACUACGUG